rnacentral:rRNA from 1 species
GAAAGUGAAGGUCGACUUUCCGGUCGGCUUAGGCGAGAUCCCGGAUACCGAUGUCCGGGCGCACUGCCGGCCCAUCUCGUCCGCCACGUCGGUGAGGUGGAGCUAGAGCAUGCAUGUUGGGACCCGAAAGAUGGUGAACUAUGCCUGAGUAGGUUGAAGCCAGAGGAAACUCUGGUGGAAGNCCGUAGCGAUUCUGACGUGCAAAUCGAUCGUCGAACUUGGGUAUAGGGGCGAAAGACUAAUCGAACCAUCU